UACGUAGGUGGCUAGCGUUGUCCGGAUUUACUGGGCGUAAAGCGCGCGCAGGCGGUCGUCCAAGUCGAGUGUGAAAGCCCCCGGCUCAACUGGGGAGGGUCACUCGAUACUGAUCGACUUGAAGGCAGAAGAGGGAAGCGGAAUUCCCGGUGUAGUGGUGAAAUGCGUAGAGAUCGGGAGGAACACCCGUGGCGAAGGCGGCCUGCUGGGCUGACCCUGACACUGAGGCGCGAAGGCGUGGGGAGCGAACAGG
rnacentral:rRNA from 1 species